AGAGUUUGAUCAUGGCUCAGAACGAACGCUGGCGGCAUGCCUAACACAUGCAAGUCGAACGAGACCUUCGGGUCUAGUGGCGCACGGGUGCGUAACGCGUGGGAAUCUGCCCUUGGGUUCGGAAUAACAGUUGGAAACGACUGCUAAUACCGGAUGAUGACGUAAGUCCAAAGAUUUAUCGCCCAAGGAUGAGCCCGCGUAGGAUUAGCUAGUUGGUGAGGUAAAAGGCUCACCAAGGCGACGAUCCUUAGCUGGUCUGAGAGGAUGAUCAGCCACACUGGGACUGAGACACGGCCCAGACUCCUACGGGAGGCAGCAGUGGGGAAUAUUGGACAAUGGGCGAAAGCCUGAUCCAGCAAUGCCGCGUGAGUGAUGAAGGCCUUAGGGUUGUAAAGCUCUUUUACCCGGGAUGAUAAUGACAGUACCGGGAGAAUAAGCUCCGGCUAACUCCGUG
rnacentral:rRNA from 1 species